UUGAACGCUGGCGGCAGGCCUAACACAUGCAAGUCGAACGGUAACAGGAAACAGCUUGCUGUUUCGCUGACGAGUGGCGGACGGGUGAGUAAUGUCUGGGAAACUGCCUGAUGGAGGGGGAUAACUACUGGAAACGGUAGCUAAUACCGCAUAACGUCGCAAGACCAAAGGGGGGGACCUUCGGGCCUCUUGCCAUCAGAUGUGCCCAGAUGGGAUUAGCUAGUAGGUGGGGUAACGGCUCACCUAGGCGACGUUCCCUAGCUGGUCUGAGAGGAUGACCAGCCACACUGGAACUGAGACACGGUCCAGACUCCUACGGGAGGCAGCAGUGGGGAAUAUUGCACAAUGGGCGCAAGCCUGAUGCAGCCAUGCCGCGUGUAUGAAGAAGGCCUUCGGGUUGUAAAGUACUUUCAGCGGGGAGGAAGGGAGUAAAGUUAAUACCUUUGCUCAUUGACGCUACCCGCAGAAGAAGCACCGGCUAACUCCGUG
rnacentral:rRNA from 1 species